rnacentral:lncRNA from 1 species
GCCCCUUCAACUUUUUAAAUGAGAAAUUGCUCUAGAAGUAACAGAGCUUUACGGCAUGAAACCUGAAAAUCGAAACAAAGCAAUUUAUUGAAAAUUUUCAGAAAUUCCCUAUCCAAGGUGGACAUUACGACCCUCAAAUACCCCUCUAAGCAUUGAAAUAUAAUACAAGUAUUGACCAACAUAAAAGAUUCCUGAUUAGGAGGAUAUAGAUAUUUGAGAUUUUAAUUAGGUGAGAUUAUAUGGAUUUUUUUCUUAUUGUAAAUAUUUCUAAUUUAGAUUGAUUUUUUGUGUAUAAAUACUCACCUUUAUUUAUUCUUAUUGUAAAUAUUUAUAAUUUAGGUUGAUUUUUUGUGUAUAAAUACUCAAACCUUGUAAAGGUCAAUAUAAUUGGAAUAAAAUAAAAAAUUCCUCCCAAAAUUCUUCAUGGUAUCAAAGUUUUGCCACUUUAAUUAGCAUAAGUUUCAAACCUAUCACAAAAAAAGUUAGAAUUAACUAUAGGUCAACAGAGUUGUUCAACACUACCCCUCCCAAAGGAAAGCCUAUUCAAUUUCCGAUCUAUUCCCGUCAUCACAGUCACCAUCUGAUCACGUGCGUGAAGCCACACGCUGUUACAAUAUUCUGCAUCUUUCCCACGCACCGACGCAUAUGACAUUUUCCGGUGGUCUUUUUCGACGGUGAUCCUUUACGACGGACUCGUCUUCAAGUCAUGCCUUUGACUUGUGUGGACCCAUGACUUGGUUCACCUUUUCCGAUGUGGGAAACAUUUUCCGGUAGUUUUUUCCGGCAGCGAUUCUUUCCGACAAACCUGUCUUCAAGUUGCGCCUUUGAUCUGUCCAGACCCGUGCUUUUUCAUUUUUCGCUGUUGAACAAUAAUUCUUUCUUCAGUAAGAGUAAUUUUUCCAAUAUUUUUGACAGAAAAAGGGUGGUUUUCUCUUGAAAUGGCAGUGACUUAUGUGGGUAAUGUAAGGAUUUCUAAUAAUACUUUUGUUCCGUCUCUUGAUUCUACUUCAUGAAUUAUUGAUUUUGGUGCAAAUAGACACGUGAUGGCUUCUCUGAAAGCUUCCUUAAUUAUUUUCCAUAUAUACAAAAAAACAUUGUCAGAAUCGCAGAUAGUUCUUCCACUCCUAUCUCUGAAACCGGUUCUAUUAUUUGUAAUCCAAAUAUCAAGCUAUCUUUUGUUCUUCGUGUUCCUCGUUUUCCUGUUAAUAUUUUAUUUAUUAGUACUCUCACCAAAGCACUUAACUGUAAAAUUGAAUUUUUUUCUUGACCAUUAUGUUAUUUAGGACCUUCAAAUUAGGAAGAGGAUUGACAAUGGUAGAUUGCACGAUGGCUUAUAUAUGUUGGAAGGGAAUCUGAGUUUAAAUUCAACUCGGGCGCUUUUUGGAAGAAAUCGGGAUGUCAAUUAGAAAAUCAUACAAUGACAUCGACAGUUAGAACAUCCAUCUUCUUUGUUUUAGAGAAACUUUAUCCUGAAUUAUUUUGUAAGGUCCAAUGUGAUUCUUUAUUCUGUGAUGCUUGUGAGUAUGCUAAACAUACAAGAACCUCUUAUCCCACAAGUAAUAAUAGGAGUAUGAUCCCUUUUGUAACCAUCCAUUCUAACGUUUGGGAACCUACUCAAACGGUCUCACUAUCUGGUAAUCGUUAGUUUAUUACUUUUAUUGAUUGCUGCACUCGUAUGAAUUGGGUUUAUUUGAUAAAGACAGAGUAAUUUAUUUUCUUGUUUGUGAUCUUUUCACAAGAUGGUUUGUACUCAAUUUGAUGCUAAGAUAAAAAUUUUGAGAACUGAUAAUGGCACAAAGUACAUGGAUGGACAUUUUUUUGCUUAUCUGGAGUUUAGUGGGAUACUACAUCAAACUAGUUGUCCUCCACUAAUUCCCAAAAUGAUAUUGCUGAAACGAAAAAUAGACACCUAUUGCAAGUAGCCAGAUCUCUCCUUUUCACUGUGAAUUUUCCAAAAACCUAUUCGGGAGAUGUCUUAACUGCAACUUAUCUCAUUAAUAGAAUGUCUCUCUUGCCUUUUAAAGCCCUUUAGAAGUGCUACAAGCGAAAAAAUGCUUACACUAUUGCACCAAAGGUAUUUGGAUGCACAUGUUUUGUUCAUAUUAGGACAGGUGGGAAGCUUGAUCCUCGAGCUCUUAAAUAUGUGUUUGUUGGGUACUCUCCUACACAAAAGGGUUACAAAUGUUAUCAUCCUCCACUUAGAAAAUACUUUGUCAGUAUGGAUAUUACGUCUAGAGAGACUGAACCUCACUUCAAUACUAUCCCAUCACCUCUUUAGGGGAAAAACAAUGAGAGAAGAGAUGAUUCCUAGUCCUAUAACUUUAGAGCGUUUUACUCUAAAGGAAACUACCAUACAGGGGAGACUAUUAGUAAUCAAGAAAAAAUAAUUGAGCGUUUGGAUAAAUCAAAUUAAAAGAGAUACUCAAGAAGAGACACAACAAAAGCAGAGAAAGCCAUUGUGCAGCCUACAUAUCCUCUUCUCCAUCUACGAGUUAUUCCUAAACCUUAAACCCAUUGAUAAUCUAAAUAAACCAAUUACUCAAAGAAAGAGCUAAGUCUUGCAUAAAGCAUUCUAUUUCUAACUCUUUUACAAUUCUUUGUCUCCAUCCUAUUGAGCCUUUGCCUUAUCUAUUUCCUUGGAAGAAAACUCUCAAAAAUUCUAAUUGGAAAGGAGCAAUGAUUGAAAAAAUAAAAGCCUUAGCUAAAAUUGAGACUUAGGAAUUAAUGUCUCUUCUACCAAGAAAAAAACCACUGCAAAUGGAUGUUCACUGUGAAACACAAAGCAGAUGGAUCAAUUGAAAGAUUCAAGCCAGACUAAUUGCCAAGGGAUACACUCAAACCUAUAGAGCGGAUUACUCGGAGACAUUUCCCCCUAUUGCCAAAAUUAACUCAAUUAGAAUAUUCAUAUCUUGCGCUGCCAAUUUUGACUGGGACCUAUAUGAAAAACGCACUCCUUUACGGAGACUUGAAGGAGGAAGUGUAUAUGGAAAUCUCUCUUGGAUUUGCUGAACAAUCACCUAGAGCUUGGUUUGAUCGAUUCAGAAAUGCCAUGAUAAUGUUGAAGAGAUGACUCGGAUGAAAAAGCUUUUGGCUCAAGAGUUUGAAAUUAAAGAUCUAGGAUAACUUUAAUAUUUCUUGGGAAUCAAGGUUGUAAAAUCAAAUAAAUGAAUCCUUAUUUCUCAGAAAAAAUACAUUCUGGAUCUUUUGAAAAAAAAUGGUAUAUUAUGAUGCAAACCAACAGAAACUCCCAUUGAGAGCAAUCACAAGCUACAAGCAGGGAUUGAUGAAUCAGUGGAUAGUAUCAGAUAUCAAAAGUGGACUUGUAGACUAAUUUAUCUUUCGUAUACUCGACCAGACAUAGCAUAUGCAGUCAGCUUAAUCAGUCAGUUUAUACAUAAUUCUCGUGAGUCUCACAUGCAAGUUUUUUUCGCAUUUUGCAAUACUUAAAGUUUGCUCCUAGAAAAAGUCUCCUCUUCUCUAAACAUGGUUAUCUCUGCAUACACGCAUUCACAAAUGCAAAUUGGGAUCUGCAUCUAGAUUCCUUCAUGAUAGGAGGUUGACUAGUGGUUACUGCACACUUCUAGAAGGAAAUCUUGUUACUUGGAAAAGCAAAAAACAAAGUGUUUUUGUUUGAUCAAGUGCUAAGGCAGAAUAUAGAGCGAUAACACAAGGUGUUUGUGAACUCCUAUGGUUGAAGAGAUUGUUGGAGGAAUUGAAACUGUUGGAGAGGGACAAACUCCUCUUGUACUAUGACAAUAAAGUUGCAAUCAGUAUAGCUCACAAUCGAUUCUGUUGAGAUAUUUUAUGUAAUAUCCUAGAUUUAUAGUGAUUGUAUGCAUAAUUAGGAAUAUGAUUGUGUGAUACGAUUGGGAUAUGAUUAGACUAUAAUUAGAGAAUUAAUUUAUUCUUGUAAAUAGUAUAUAUACCCCAAUUAGCUUAAGGGAAUUAUCAAGCAUCUUUCUCUCAAAUUCUCUCUUUCUUUUCAUCAUUGUUUCAUGAUAUCAAAGCCAAGCAUUUGGCCUAUCUGCGAGCGGCAGAUCUGCCACCUUCAUUUGGAGGUUCUCAAAAGUUAGUGAAUCUCACCAUCCAAGCCACUAGACUCGCUGAUCUCCCAUCGGCACCUCCCUAAAGCGUCGUCACCAAAAAUGUGGCUACGCGCCUUCACGCAACGCCACUCUAUUUCUACAUCUGGUACAUGCGCCAACAAGUGACCCUUAUUUCAGCGACCUUUUCACGCCCGUGAUCCUUCCCCCAAACUCGCCAGAGGAAGACGAGUCUAGCCCACCUGCUUCGGUCACCACUCAGCUCUCCUUCACCUAUCCUUUGUGAACAGUAACUUAAGGACUAUUGUUCACGUCCUGAAGUAGAUUUCUUUCCUCUUCAAACUCUCUCAACAUCUCUAAGGAGCAGAUAAUCCUAAAUACAGUUCACAUGGCCCAAUCAAAUAGAGUAGACUCACGUUCCAAACCGAAUUCAAUCACUUUAAAUGAAGCAGAGUGCAAAGGAUAUCUAUAGUUCCAAACUACUCAACAACAUUCUUCUUCAAAUUUUGCUCAUUUUGGUAAUUCUUUUGCUUAUCUAACCAAGUCUUACCCAUUAGUUCAUGGAUCCAAGACUUGGGUGCUUCUGAUCAUAUAUCUGGUAAUCCCAAUAUUUUCUCUACUCUUGUUUCACCUUCUACACCAUCUAAAAUCACAUUAGCUAGUGGUUCACAAACUCAAGUUAAAAGGAUAGGCAACUUAUAUUUCCUUCCUUCUAUCUCCUUGACUAAUGUUUUAUUCACUUCUGAAUGUCCAUACAACCUAAUCUCUGUUAGCAUAUUGACUAAAGAUCUUCACUGUUGAGUCAUCUUUAGUGUUGAAUAUGAGUCACACGGAUUGUACUAUUUUUCCACUUCUAACCCUCAUCCAAGUCUGAACAAGUUACAAAAACUAAUCCCUAGUCACUCUUCCUUGCCUUCUUUAGAAUGUGAGACUUGUCAACUUGGAAAGCAAACUAGAGCUUCUUUUCCCAAGCGAGUCAAUAAUAAGGUCACUUCUAUGUUUGACAUUAUUCAUUCAGAUAUUUGGGGUCCAAGUGGAGUUAGUACAACUCUAAGAUUUCAAUAUUUUGUUACCUUUAUUAAUGACUAUUCUCGUUACACUUGGCUUUUUCUAACGAAAAAUUAUUUUGAGUUAUUCUUUAUUUUUCAAAAGUUUUAUGCUGAAAUUCAUAAUCAAUUUGGUAUUCACAUUAAGAUAUUGCAAAGUGACAAUGCAAGAGAAUAUUUAUCUUACUCAUUCACUCACUUUUUGUCUACUCAAGGUAUUACACACAGACUUAUUCUCAUACCCCACAACAAAAUGAGGUUGCCGAGUUGAAAAAUCGACAUUUAGUUGAAACAGCCCACACCUUACUCCUACAUCACAAUGUUCCGUUGCAUUUUUGGGGGAAAGCUAUCCUUACUGCCUAUUACUUGAUUAACCGAAUGCUCUUCUCUGUUUUGCAGCAUCAAAGUCCUCAUUCUCUAUUUCCUAAUCAGAAUUCCAACCAGUUGUCUCCGCGAGUUUUCAAAUGUAUAUGCUUUAUUCAUUAUCAUACUUCUGGCAAAAACAAACUCUAGCCCAAACCAGUUAAAUAGGUCUUUCUCGGCUAUUCAUGGCUUUAAAAUUGUUACAAAUGCUAUGAUCUACUAAUAGAUAUUUUCUCUUCGCAGAUGUUACCUUUUUUGAAAUCUCCUCUUAUUUUCUAGUCCAACACACAAAACCUUUAUUCCUAUAACUUUGCCUAUACCUUCAACUCUUAUUUCUCCUUAAUCUCAAGUGUGUCUAUCCCCCACUCCUACACCACCUCUUUUGGUCUACACACAUCAGCCUCACUCAUAUGCUAAUAACAAUGAUAUUUCUAAUGGUAAUAUGUUCUCUUCCUGAUGCAGGUACUUCUAAUGACUCACCUCCCGUUCCACCUCUUCCCUUCGAAAAGGUAUUCGCUCUUCUCGCAAUACUUAUUCCAUUUACAAUUUUGAGACCUAUUAUCAUUUGUCUCCUUCCUAUUAUACUUUUGUUUCUACUAUGCUUGCUGUUUCUAUAUCCAAAAUAGUUAGUAAUGCCAUGGUUAAGGAGAUGACUACUCUUCACAAUAAUGGAACUUGGGAACUAGUACCUUUACUACCUAGCAAGUCUACUGUUGGUUGUCAAUGGAUCUACACAGUUAAGAUGGGACCUUAUGGCAAAAUUGAUCGUCUUAAAGUUGUCCUUGUAGCUAAAGGUUACACACAGAUUUUUGAGCUUGAUUACAGUGAUAUUUUCUCUUCAGUAGCCAAAAUAGCUUUGGUUCGCCUUCUUAUCUCAUUAAAUUCUUCAGCAAUUGGACAUUAAAAAUGUCUUUCUUCAUGGUGAGCUCGCCGAAGAACUCUAUAUGGAGUAAUCUUCAGGGUUUGUAGCUCAAGAAAAGUUAGGCUUAGUAUAUCGUCUUUGACGCUCCUUGUAUGGUAUAAAACAAUCUCCAAGAGCAUCGUUUGAACGAUUCAGCACUGUAGUUCAACAGUUUAAAAUGUCUCGAAGUAAUUUUAAUCAUUCUGUAUUUUUUCAUCAUAAUGGUGAUAAAUGCAUCUACUUGGAGCUCAAUAUUGAUGAUAUUGUCAUUACAGGAAAUGAUCAUGAUGAAAUCUCUCAGCUUAAAUAACAUUUGUUCAGUCAUUUCCAAACUAAAGACUUGAGAAAAUUGAAGUAUUUUUUGGAGAUUCAAGUGGCACAGUCUAAAAUAAAUAUUGCAAUUUCUCAAUGGAAAUAUGCUUUGGAUAUAUUGGAAUAAACAGCCAUGUUAGACUAUAGACAUGUGGACACUCCCAUGGAUCCAAAUGUCAAACUUGUUCCUGAGCAGGAGAAGCCACUUAAAAAUCCUGCUAGAUACAGAAUAUUAAUUGGCAAUCUCAAUGAUCUCACUAUCACGCGACCACAUAUUUCCUUUGCUAUAAGUGUGGUUAGUCAAUUUCUUCAAACCCCAUACAAUAGUCACUAAAAUACAGUCAUUCGCAUUCUUUGAUAUAUCAAAGGAGCUCCAAGACACGUCUACUCUAUGAUGACAAGGGUCACUCACAAAUUGUUAGCUAUUCUGAUGCACAUUGGACAGAUUCUCCUUUAGAUAGACGAUCUACUUCAGGAUAUUGUAUUAUGAUUGGAGAGAAUCUUAUAUCCUAAAAAAGUAAAAUACAGGGUGUGGUUACAGGAUCGAGUGCAGAAGCAAAAUAUUGAACUAAUGCUUUGGCAAUAUGCGAAUUCAUUUGGUUGAAGCAACUCCUUCAAGAACUGAAAUAUGGCAAUAUUGGCUAAAUGAAGCUAAUAUGUGCUCUCCAUAUUGCAUCAAAUCUAAUUUUUCAUGAGAGAACGAAGUAUAUAGAGGUGGAUUGCCAUUUUAUUAGACAAAAUAUUGAGUGCGGAUGCAUUUCUACUAACUUUGUCAACUCAAAUGAUCAACUAGCUGAUAUUUUCAACAAAUCUCUUUGGGGUUCACGAAUCAAAUAUAUUUGGAACAAGGUUGGAGCAUAUGACAUGUACACUUCAGCUUGAGGGAAGUGUUGAGAUACAUUCUGUAAAUAGUCUAGAUUUGUAAUGAUUGAGCAUAAUUAGGGAUAUGAUUGUGUGAAAUGAUUGGGAUAUGAUUACGCCAUAAUUAAGGAAUUAAUUUAUUCUUGUAAGUAGUAUAUAUAACCCAAUUGGCUUGAGGGGAAUUAUCAAGCAUCUUUCUCUCAAAAUCUCUCUUUCUUUUCAUCACUGUUUUAGGUUCAACAUGACCGAACGAAACACAGAGAAAUUGAUCAACACUUCAUUAAAGAAAAGUUAAUAAACAGUGUCUUGAGAUUAAAUCAUGUGGCUUUCGAUGAAUAGCUAGCUGAUAUGUUUACCAAAAGGCUAACCAACAAAACCUAUCACAUCUUGAUUUGCAAGGUGGACAUGUGUGAUAUCUAUGCACCAAGUCACCAACUUGAGGAGAAGUGUUGACCAACAUAGAAGGUUCCUAAUUAGGAGGAUUCAGAUCUUUGGAUUCUAAUUAGGCUUGAUUAUAGGAAUUUUAUUCUUAUUGUAAAUAUUCCUGAUUUAGAUUGAUUCUUUGUGUAUAAAUACUCAAACCUUGUAAAGAUCGUGCAUUGAAAUAGAAUAAAAAAUUCCUCCCAAAAUUCUUCAACAAGUAACUAGGAAAAGAAAUUGUCCAGGGAGAAUAAUUGAGAAACCUUACAAACUUCAUGCAGGUGAUGCAAUCCAAUCCCAUAGUAUAAACAUAGCAAGUCAUAAUUCCACUGAAAAAAUUUUUUUGCAACAAAAAUACAUGCACCAUCAAAAUCUUAAAACAUAGUGG